UGGAAUCGAGGAUGUCAGAGCAUCCCUGAAGGGAGAGUGGAGGUUUUCUAAAAUGUUUUUAGCUGUUUUAAGCUUUUGUUUUAGCAAAGGAAUAAGUUUUGAAGAAACAAGGCUAAGGAAAGUUUUGCCACUUUCGGCCCCCUAAAGUGUAAGUUCGGCCGCCUAAAGUAGCUCAUGUUCGGCCCCCUAAACUCAAUGUUCGGCCCCCGAACGUGAUGAGGUGUUACAUGUAGCUUUGGCCACCGAACGUGAAGCGGUGGUUCACUUUUUUUAAGUGGAUAUGACCGACUAUGGAGGUGCUUAAGCUCUCCUUUGGGUCAGGAACAAGCACAUGUUUCCCCUUGGUGAUUUUCUUGAGUUUCUAAUCAAAUCUUUCAAAGA
rnacentral:lncRNA from 1 species